UACGGAGGGUGCUAGCGUUGUUCGGAAUUACUGGGCGUAAAGGGCGCGUAGGCGGCCGUUUGCGUCGGAUGUGAAAGCCCGGGGCUCAACCUCGGAACGGCAUUCGAUACGGGACGGCUGGGGACCGGGAGAGGAGAGUGGAAUAGCCAGUGUAGAGGUGAAAUUCGUAGAUAUUGGCUGGAACACCGGUGGCGAAAGCGGCUCUCUGGCCCGGUUCUGACGCUGAGGCGCGAAAGCGUGGGGAGCAAACAGG
rnacentral:rRNA from 1 species